CACAUGCAAGUCGAACGAGACCGAUUGAAAGCUUGCUUUGAGAGUCGAGUGGCAAACGGGUGAGUAACGCGUGGGCAACCUGCCCUCUAGAUGGGGACAACAUCCCGAAAGGGGUGCUAAUACCGAAUGUGACAGCAAUCUCGCAUGAGGAUGCUGUGAAAGAUGGCCUCUAUUUAUAAGCUAUCGCUAGAGGAUGGGCCUGCGUCUGAUUAGCUAGUUGGUGGGGUAACGGCCUACCAAGGCGAUGAUCAGUAGCCGGUCUGAGAGGAUGAACGGCCACAUUGGGACUGAGACACGGCCCAGACUCCUACGGGAGGCAGCAGUGGGAAUCUUCCGCAAUGGGCGAAAGCCUGACGGAGCAAUGCCGCGUGAGUGAUGAAGGAAUUCGUUCCGUAAAGCUCUUUUGUUUAUGACGAAUGUGCAGGUUGUGAAUAAUGACUUGUAAUGACGGUAGUAAACGAAUAAGCCACGGCUAACUACGUG
rnacentral:rRNA from 1 species